rnacentral:rRNA from 1 species
UACGUAGGGUGCGAGCGUUGAUCGGAAUUACUGGGCGUAAAGCGUGCGCAGGCGGUUAUGUAAGACAGAGGUGAAAUCCCCGGGCUCAACCUGGGAACUGCCUUUGUGACUGCAUGACUAGAGUACGGCAGAGGGGGAUGGAAUUCCGCGUGUAGCAGUGAAAUGCGUAGAGAUGUGGAGGAAUACCGAUGGCGAAGGCAGCCUCCUGGGCCAACACUGACGCUCAUGCACGAAAGCGUGGGGAGCAAACAGG